GGUCCUACCUCUUAAAAUAACCUAAUAGUGUUUAUAGAGGCGUUAAACCUAUACUGUUUCACCUUUUCAGACUGCGCGAGUAUGCCCGUUUACGACAGCAAGCAGGGAACAGCUCUGGAGACUCCGGCGCCAAGAACUAAAAGUGUGACGUCAUCACCUAGCCGUCUGUCUGACUGACUGGCCGAAUAUACCCUCUUUUACCGGGUUCGGAAAUUUGUUCUGGAAUUUUUUUUGCUGGUAUCGAUGAAGUGUAGGAAUACAUGAAAUAGAAAUGUAAAAGAAGUAGCUCAGGAUACGGAAAAGUUGAACGUGUGUGAGUGGAAUGAAAGGUUGGAAGAGUGUGUUCGUGGCCUUUUAUCUUGUCUAGGGUGGGACAGGCAAUGGUGGUGAUGAUCAAAGGUGAACGGUGAUAAUGGUAUCGAAUAAGCCAAUUAGGUUUGACUAAAUGUAUAGAUUGUGUUCACUUGGAGAAUCAAAGGACUAUGCAAAAGAAUUCACAAAGUGAGUGUAAUAAAUGCCAAGACUGUUUUCAGUGGUUUUAAAAGAGACUAUAAAUAGUUGUGACAUCCGAAAAAAUAAGUGAAAACACAAUUUUAUAAAAGCCAGUCUCGAUAUUUGGCGGACAGAAUAGAUCUAAUGCAGGCAAAGAAUUAUAACACUCUGUACUCAUCUUACACUCUACAAGAUAAUCGAUACCAACAGAAAAAAACCGGCUCAAAUUUCUGCUUCCCAUGUGUACCUGUGAUGUAAACUAUUAAGAUCUCUGGACCGAAGAACUGUACAUUUUAUGCAUACGCACCAUGCGUUCUUAUCUUGCUCAAAACUGCUUAAAAGUGCUCAGAACUGCUUACAGUUGCUAGGAGCUGCUUAGAGUGCUCGCACAAAUUUAACUCUUUAUGUCAUAUUUCUUGCUAUAUCUUAACUCUUAGUAAAGGCUAUUCCACCUUUGUAAGCAGGCACUUUUGUCAUCAUAGUUCUUAUCAGUACCAUAAACUUCCCUAAAACUUAACUCGUAUUGAACCUAUUUUCAUAAGAUGACCACCAAACCGAAUAGAAAGGAAUGAUCAAAGCAAUUAACUUACAAUUCGGUUAGAAAUGGAUUCCCCGCGUUUUUUCGGCUAGGGAUUUGGUGGAUAUUUUGUACUGACUGUACUUAAACAACCAAGGGGUGCUGUGAACUAGCCGAGCUGGGGCGUCGAAUACUAAGAGUUAAGAAAAUUGCAAUCAUGACAAGGUGAUUAAAUAUCUUUUUUUUUACUCAGAAGAUAUUUGAAUAUGGUUUGUAGUUUAGUGAGAGAGAGAGAGAGAGAGAGAGAGAGAGAGAGAGAGA